UUUGGUGCGUCCAUGUCUCUCCUGGAUCCAUAGUUUGGAAAGACCAGGCCACAAACAUGUUGAGAAGACAGAUGGAUUUCAAUGAGGCUCGGGGGGCUGCAGAGAGGGUCUGAGUAAAGGAAAUUGGCAAAGUUGAUGAGGAGCUGGGAGGAAUUUGUGAAGUUUCCAGGUCCAAUCUCCUGCUGGCAGAAGGAUGCUGAGAAGUACAGCUGACAGAUGGGUGUGUUUGCAUCCCAUCUCUCUGCAGCGCCCUGGCGGUGUAUGGUGCAGCACAGUGGAAAAGCACCGUUCAUGGAACAGACUGGAAACCAGAGCACUGACAAACUUCUCCAAGCCGGCAGCCAGCAUCUGCCACUGCUUCUGUCUGCAUGAGUGGCAGUUACCUUCAACAUGGACUCGCUGGC